CUGGUAUCGAACCUUGCGGAGAUAAUUUCUUCGGGAUCUGUACCGAGUAGUUUUUUUUCCUAGUAGCAUGAUACCGGUCUUCACGUUCCCGAGCUUUCAGUUCUGCGAGGGCGUGUAUUCUUCCAGUCAGUGGGGCUCCCACUAGUUGACAUCUUGUAACAGUAGACUUUAGAAUUCCUUUGUUGAGCAUGUGGGCUGCACUGUGUAUUCUUGCUUCAAAGUUGCGAUAGAAUGUCACUUGUUUUGGAUUUGUUCUAGUAUAAGCCCGGUUGACACUUUCUACUUUUUGAGUAACUGAAUCUGCAGGUAAAUAGGCAGGUUUCCAUGCCUUGAUCCGCCUGCCCGAACACACAAAUGAAUGCCUUUGACACAGUGUUGAACAGUUGCCACUCACACAGGCCACGAUGGAAUCGAUGGUGUGUUUCGUUCUCAGCAAUGGUGUAGACCGCUUGAGUUGCAGGCUGGAGGGGUGUGCUCGAGUUCCCACCGAAAAGUCUGUUGUUGUAACGGCAGUCUCCCUCAACACUUAUCUUGUGAUCACUGGAAAUCUUCCAAGGCAUCGGGAACAGCUGGGUGAGGCCGAAGUAACCGCAUAUUGCCAGUCGUCCCCUGUGAAUCGGUGACCACAUAUGAAGAUGCACCUCGACUCGUUGACGGCUUAGCCACUGCAUCAAAGUCUUCCCUGGACAGCCUGGUACAGGCCAAAUCAGACCAACACAGUGACACUCCUCAAAGAGUUAUCCCCCCUUGACCAGCCGUCAACAUAUAACCAAGUGACUUUCGUGAAGUGCCAAAUGUUAGUAUUCAUGUUGGAGCAAUAAAAUUUAUAAACCGAAAAA